rnacentral:lncRNA from 1 species
CAGGAGGUGACACAAAGUGACACACAGGUGACCCAAGAGGUGACAGGAGGUGACACACAGGUGACAGGAGGUGACACAGGUGACACACAGGUGACACAGGUGACAGGAGGUGACACAGGGGACACACAGGUGACACAGGAGGUGACACAGGAGGUAACACAGGUGACACACAGGUGACACAGGUGACACAGGAGGUGACAAAGUGACACAGGUGACACAGGUGACACAGGUGACAGGAGGUGACACACAGGUGACACAGGAGGUGACACACAGGUGACAUAGGUGACACAGGUGACACCCAGGUGACCCAGGUGACCCAGGUGACCCAGGUGACCCAGGUGACACAGGUGGGGACACACAGGUGACACAGGAGGUGACACAAAGUGACACCCAGGUGACACAAGGUGACAGCCAGGUGACCCCCAGGUGACACAGGUGACACAGGUGACACAGGAGGUGACACAGGAGGUGACACACACAGGUGACACAGGAGGUGACACACAGGUGACACAGGUGACAGAAGGUGACACAGGUGACAGGAGGUGACACAGGAGGUGACACACAGCUGACAGGAGGUGACACACAGGUGACACAGGUGACACAGGAGGGGACACACAGGUGACAGGAGGUGACACAGGAGGGGACACACAGGUGACACAGGUGACACAGGAGGUGACACACAGCUGACAGGAGGUGACACAGGUGACACCCAGGUGACACAGGUGACACAGGUGACACAGGAGGUGACACAGGAGGUGACACAGGUGACCCCCAGGUGACCCCAGCCCACCUCUCCUGAGGGGCAGCAAUUUGUUCUCCAGCACGUCCCGAGCGUCCGUCCCCUCAUCCAUCAGAUCCAGCUUGGUGAUCACCCCAAUGGUCCUCAGACCUGCCCAGGGGGACAAUUAACAAACCACUCAUUAAUUAAUGAACCACUCAUUAAUUAAUGAACCACUCAUUAAUUAAUAAAC